rnacentral:rRNA from 1 species
AACGCGAAAGGACCUUACCAGCCCUUGACAUGUCCAGGACCGGUCGCAGAGACGUGACCUUCUCUUCGGAGCCUGGAGCACAGGUGCUGCAUGGCUGUCGUCAGCUCGUGUCGUGAGAUGUUGGGUUAAGUCCCGCAACGAGCGCAACCCCCGUCCUUAGUUGCUACCAUUUAGUUGAGCACUCUAAGGAGACUGCCGGUGAUAAGCCGCGAGGAAGGUGGGGAUGACGUCAAGUCCUCAUGGCCCUUACGGGCUGGGCUACACACGUGCUACAAUGGCGGUGACAAUGGGAAGCUAAGGGGCGACCCUUCGCAAAUCUCAAAAAGCCGUCUCAGUUCGGAUUGGGCUCUGCAACUCGAGCCCAUGAAGUUGGAAUCGCUAGUAAUCGUGGAUCAGCAUGCCACGGUGAAUACGUUCCCGGGUCUUGUACACACCGA